rnacentral:tRNA from 1 species
GCGCCCGUAGCUCAGUUGGAUAGAGCAACUGCCUUCUAAGCAGUGGGUCACAGGUUCGAUUCCUGUCGGGCGUACCA